ensembl:lncRNA
GCAGGCUCUGCUCUUGGCUGUUCACCACACAGCUCCAAAACAAACAACACACAACCAGCCACAAGACAUUCCCUCCACCAGCCUCAAAACACACACACACCAAAGGCCACCAGAAGACAAAAGAGACCACCACACCAGCCUGCCACUGUACUGCCAACAACCAAAUAAAGCCAGACAGCUCCCAAGAAAAACCACCACCAAACCCAACAACCAGCACACCACAAAGCCAACUCCACCUUCCACACCAAAACCACCCAAGCCACUUUCUACCACCAGCCUCCUAACCAAAAAAAAACAGACAAGCCCCACCACAAGACCGCCAGCAAACAAGCCUGCCACAUCACCAACACAAACCUCUGACGCACCAAAGCCAGCCGGCCACCUAAGCAAACACAAACAGAGCCAAGACAGCACAACACCCCAGGCCUACCUGCUGGCUCUGCUCCUCCUCAUCGCAGCUCCCAGGAUCUCCAUCUUCCAUGCAGGAAAACAGCCACGCCAGGACCCUUAACUCCACUCCUCCGGGACAGGACCUGCCACGCACCUUCCACCCUGUCACAAAAGCACAUCAUCACCCACACAGCCACUGCCUCCGGCCCCGGGGCACCACCCACCUCACAGGUAACAUGCAGCUCACCUUGCUCCACAGGGGCGCCCCGCUCACACCGCCAGGAUCCUGCCUCCAGCCUGAACCUGCGCAGAGACCUCCACAAACCACCUCCAAGGGGGCGCUCCUGGGGGCAGCCCUCCACCACGAGGGCUCCCGCCUGGGGCUCCCCCUCUCUCACCUCCUUCAUCCCACCCCUGGGAAAACUGCACACCUGCUCCAGCCAAUCCUCUCUGCAGCCUUCACCCUGCAACAAGAGCACAGAUCACACAGCCAGACAGAAUGCCAAGGCCCCACUGCAAAGCGCCCGCACGCAACUGCAACGGGGCCCGGGGAACCGGACUCCGCAACCUCCCCGGGCACUCCUCUCCCAUCCCGCUCACAAGGAAAUCAUUCUUCUUCCUCUUGAAUGAGAAAUUCUGGUGAUACCAAACAUGCACACUGCCCCCCUACUGCCACACGCCACUCAUCCCCGUCAACUGGGCUCCUGCGCAGCAGGCAUUGCUAUCUGCCACCCUCCUCUCCUCUCACUGCACAAUCAAGACAACGCACAAAGCUACCUUUUGGUCCGGCAUGACUUCUCCUCUGUCCAUCCACCUGGACUGCUCCUUGCAAAUUCCUUCUCCUCCAGUCACAUGGCAAUGACACCUGCAACAAGCUGUUGCGUCACCUCCCCAGGAACAGAGGUGAGGUGAGGCCAACCUACCUCCAAGUUGCACACGCCAUCCUCCACACCCUUUCUGAAGGCUGCGGUGGCAUCCGCCAUCCUCCAGUCUUCAGGUACCUUUCCCACAGGAAACAGCAGGGAAAAGUGACAGAGAGCGCCAUUUGCCGGUCACCGCUGCCAGCUCUCAGCGGGCACAGGCAUAGCCCUCUACAGCUCAGGCAUUUGCUGGCCUCCUUUCUGCCUGAACCACUUUUGACCAGCUCCUCCGCAACUGAGGGGAAGACAACCUUCCUCUGAGACUCUCUCCUCCAGGACCCCAGGUUCCCCAGGAGCACUCUCAGCAGAAACCACUGAAACCAAAACAGGCAUACAACACUUCCUCCAUUACUCAGGCCUCCACCUUGUAAAGCACAGGCCUGCAAUUUCUCCAGUCUCUCCUGUUGACAAACUUCCAUUAGCCUUGACCUCCCUCCCAAAGCUGAUACUCAGAGGGACUUGGCCUUCCUCAGCCUCUCUCUUCCUUCUCCCCUUCAAGUUCCUCAGUCAGCCCUGCAGGUCCCCCACCAUUCCUGCGCAGUUCCUUCCUCCUUGGGACGCAGCGCACCUCAGCAUGGACAAAGUAAUGCUCCAGCAUUCACGGGACCCCUUCCUAUGCUUGAUCAAGGGUUACCUCCAAGUAGGCCCUUCAAGAGGACAAACUUGGCUCCCUCUAAGUCCAGUGUUUCAAUCCUACUCAUUGCUUUGCAGCUUCCACACAAGAUCCCAAACGCUGUGGUCUCACAACUGGCACGCUCCAGGCUGCCCCUGGCCUUCCUGUCCCCAAAUGGCUCUUCCGCAAUAGGGAGCUCCAGCAGCCCCUCUCCUCAAUGCCUCCUUCAUCACCUGUGUCAGAAGAUCUUACCUUUGACACAUUGCAGGAAACUCCUGGAGCCUACCAUGAGAACUGGCCUCACAGCUGUGGGCACCAUUUCCAGCUGUGUGCAGAAGGUCUAUCAGCUUCCUCACCCUAGUCUGUGACCAACACCACCACUCAGGUCACCCACUUUUACCUGCCUCUUCAGCCUCACGCACAAACGCUCCGCUGGUUCUUCAUUCACCCCUAGGUGGAGCUCGAUACGUUCCCGUUCUCUCCCUCGAAGAGAGAGAGACUCCACCGUCCUGGCCGGUCUGUCUUUCCUAAAGGAACAGAGCCAUCCACGACAGCACUCCAGUCGUGCGAGCUGCCCUGCCAGGUCUCCACGGUGGGAACCUAAAUCGUGCUCCUGCAGUUACACGGGAAGGAAGAGGCGGGGAAAAAAAAAAAAAAAACACGGUCCCAACCUGCUCGCUCCCACCGCGGGAAACGGGAUGGGUGAGAGCACCCGCAAAACACUCCGCAGUGGCCGAGGCCACCCCGGGAUCGUGCUCGGUCUCGGGCGGAGGCCCGUGCCGGUCCUACUAAAAAAGCCACGCGGGAGCCCAGCGGCGGCGCCGUGCCGAUCCCAAAGACAGAGGCAGUCAAGCAGCAACCCUACAGGAGCCGUAGCACGAGAGAUCUUACCGAGCGAGACUCUCAAACACUCACCG